CCAUCAUCAUUAGCGAGUCGAAAUAUAGCAACACUGCUGUCUUAGUAUCCCAAAGAAAUGUCAAUCCCAGUAUAAGCUUGAAAUCAUUCAUCUGAACUACAAAUAAAUUUGUCCUUCCCUCGAAAGGACCUACUUUGAUUAACACCGAUUUCGCCACUCCAUCUAUUGGUUGAGCAGCGGAGUUGAUUGCUUUGACUUUUUCACUACCCUUUUUCAGAACAAGUUCGAGUCGUUCUACUUUGGUACAUGCAAGGUAGUUGUAGGUAGCACCAGUAUCCAGCAUAGCCUUGAUUGGCUUCCCGUUGAUUUUCACAUCAAUGUACAUUAAGCCCUUGGCCCUACAAAUUCAAGCAAUUGCUUCUUUCAUCUUUGCCUCUUUCAAUGGGACAUCAUCCUUUUCAGCAACCCGAUGCGACACUGUGUUGCACCGAUGUGAAAAUACCCCAACUACAUCCUCAUCCUCUUCGGAGUCAGUCUCACUAUGACAAUUAGCCUGUGGGGCCUCUUGCUUUGAACUUGACCCGCCAAUUGCUCGCUGAUAAUAUGCAUUCACCAUCCGCUUCUAAGGAUACUCCGAUACCCGAUGAGGUCCUUUGCAUAAAAAGCACAUCAAUUUGGGAGUGGCAUCAGUUCGGCCCUUCGUUGCUUUUCCUUUGUUCCAGUUGUUACUAUUGCUACCAUUAAAAUUUCCUUGACGGCUAUUAUGAUAAUUUCCCUAAAAGCCACGGGUGCUUUGAUAGGCUCCUCCUUUAUUUUGAGAGUAACGCUCUCUCCCAUUUGGGUUCGAGCUAGGUCUGUAAGGUCUAUUACCACCUCCAAUUGCUUGACUACUCCCCAAAGGUCUAUCUUUUCUAGAUUCUGUUUAGUAGCCGCUCGAGCAUUCGGCGGCUCCCAUGGUCGUGCUCAAAUCAGUAACUUUCUGUCUUUGAAAUUUUGUACGUGUCCACGGUUUCAACCCUUCCAUAAAGGUAAAGAGAUUAUCCUUUUCCGACAUAUCUCGAAUAUUCAGCAUAUGCCCUGAAAAGGAUUUCACAUAAUCCCUGAUAGAGCUUGUGUGUUCCAGGUCUCGAAGUGCCCGUCGAGCCUAAUACUCGACAUUUUCAGGGAAAAACUGCGAUCUGAUCACUUCCUUGAGGAGAUCCCAAGAAUCUAUUCAGACCCUGUUGGCCUAAAUGUCAGCAUAUUUGGUUUGCCACUGCAUCUCCACCCAGAUACAUGGUAGAUGUGGUUACCUUUCUAGCUUCGUCUUCGAUCAAAGCUGCGAGAAAGUACAGAUCCAUGUCAAACAAGAAGUUUUCGACUUCUUUUGCAUCGCAUGUCUCUGCAUAGGUACACGAUUCAGGAAUUCUAAGUCUAGAAGCAUACUCAAGUAUGAGAGUUUGCCCAUUGCCCACCACACAUUGGAGUAAUCGUUAUUGAGCUUUCAACACUUCCAUUUCAUCCUGCAGAUCAGGAGUGAUUGCAGCAACUUCAGUCAUUGUUGCGCAAGCCCUUUGGCUUUCAUCCAGUUGGAUGUAUAAUCCACGAAUUUCGGAUUCUGUCAUCUCGACUUUUUCCUCGAGAUCGUCCAAGGCACAGCACAACCUAGUAGUUGUCUCAUCAAGCACAUCUACGCGCUCUUUAGUAGUACUCUUCUUUUGAGGCUCUCCCACUUCAAUGGUGUGGGAUGUAAUUGGAUCCAUAGCUUUCUUAUCGAGGGUCAUGAGCCGCAGCUCUGAUACCAACUUUCACGGGGUGCCUUUCUUUUUGGCACAAAAAGGAACACCGUGUGGCAGUAGUCUGCUCUGGUAGACUACCUUCUGCCUUUUCUCGAUCGUGUUAAGACGAAAGAAAAUUUGAUUACAGUUUUGUAGAAAGCUUGCAACAGAGAAUUUGAAUACAUUGAAAGUAAAUUGAACAUUAAUUGAUGAAAACUGAA
rnacentral:lncRNA from 1 species